AGGCAAGCUCUACUGCUUGUUCUCUUGCCCUGUGGGAAACACUGUGCCAGGUCCCAAGCUAAUGAAGAGCUCUCUUCACAGAGGAUCCUGUGCUCAAGAGAUUCCUAGCCUGGGACAAGAACCUGAGGGCAUCUGACAAGUCCCACAUCAGACGCAUGAAUCAAGCUGAAUUCAAGACACAGCUCAGUGGUCACAAGUCAGUAAUGAAGAACAAGAAUCCAGUUACCAUUUCUAGUCACAAAACUAAGGGGACAGCAACACCUACCUAUAAAUAAAAUGGAUCUUGUCCCUCUGCUAUGGUGCCUUGGAGCCAGCUGACUAUGGACUGAAACUUCUGUCAACUGUGAGCCAAAGUAGGUUCUGCACUGCUGACACAUAGACAUGUAAUUAUUCAAGAGGAGAAAUUCUUCCAGAAGUGGCACAGGAGACAGAAGAUGCCCCAGGUGCACUCAAGCCAUAUCACUGUGGAUGUGAACUAGGAGGAACACAUAGGCUAAUUCCAUUCCAUAUGAUACCUCCUUGUUCCACAUUUAACUAAAUUCCAAAAGAUAUCCAUAAGGGAUUAUACCCCCCUCAAUAAACGACAAACAGAAACAA